UUACGGUCAAAUCACGCUGAAAAAAACCGGUUCUCGUUCGAUCACCGAAGUUAAGCAUCGUAGAGCCAGGUCAGUACUUAGAUGGGGACCGCUUGGGAACACCUGGUACUGUAAG
rnacentral:rRNA from 1 species